rnacentral:rRNA from 1 species
UACAGAGGGGGCAAGCGUUGUUCAGAAUUACUGGGCGUAAAGGGCGCGUAGGCGGCCUGUUAAGUCGAACGUGAAAUCCCCGGGCUCAACCCGGGAACUGCGUCCGAUACUGGCAGGCUUGAAUCCGGGAGAGGGAUGCGGAAUUCCAGGUGUAGCGGUGAAAUGCGUAGAGAUCGGGAAGAACACCUGUGGCGAAGGCGGCCGACUGGGCCGACCCUGACGCUGAGGCGCGAAGGCGUGGGGAGCGAACAGG